CAGCUUUUAUUUUGGGUAUUGGUUUAGCCACUGGCGCGCCUGAUACCCAACCGGCGCCCAAUUUAAACGGGUCGCCUUCCAGAGUUUUCUAACCCCCGGUCGGCCUCCCGACCGGGGG
rnacentral:sRNA from 3 species